GAUGAAGAACGCAGCGAAAUGCGAUAAGUAAUGUGAAUUGCAGAAUUCAGUGAAUCAUCGAAUCUUUGAUCGCACAUUGCGCCCGCCAGCAUUCUGGCGGGCAUGCCUGUUCGAGCGUCAUUUCAACCCUCGAGCCCCCCCGGGGGCCUCGGUGUUGGGGGACGGCACACCAGCCGCCCCCGAAAUGCAGUGGCGACCCCGCCGCAGCCUCCCCUGCGUAGUAGCACACACCUCGCACCGGAGCGCGGAGGCGGUCACGCCGUAAAACGCCCAACUUUCUUAGAGUUGACCUCGGAUCAGGUAGGAAUACCCGCUGAACUUAAGCAUAUCAAUAAGCGGAGGA
rnacentral:misc_RNA from 1 species